rnacentral:rRNA from 1 species
UGCGUAACAGGUGUGCAAUCUGUCCAUAGUCCGGGGGAUAGCCCAGCGAAAGCUGAAUUAACACUCCAUGUGAAUCGAAGCCGCAUGACUUUGAUUUGAAACGCAAGGACUAUGGGUGAGCACGCUUCUGAUUAGGUAGUUGGUGGGGUAACGGCCCACCAAGCCGACGAUCAGUAGGGGUUCUGAGAGGAAGGUCCCCCACAUUGGAACUGAGACACGGUCCAAACUCCUACGGGAGGCAGCAGUGAGGAAUAUUGGUCAAUGGGCGAGAGCCUGAACCAGCCAAGUCGCGUGAAGUAUGAAGGUUCUAUGGAUUAGUAAACUUCUUUUGUCCGAGGGUAAAGGAGGCUACGUGUAGCUUUUGCAAGUAUCGGACGAAUAAGCAUCGGCUAACUCCGUGCC